GACGAACGCUGGCGGCGUGCUUAACACAUGCAAGUCGAGCGGAAAGGCCACUUCGGUGGUACUCGAGCGGCGAACGGGUGAGUAACACGUGAGUAAUCUGCCCCUGGCUUUGGCAUAGCCACCGGAAACGGUGAUUAAUACCGGAUACGACCACUUCUCGCAUGGGAUGGUGGUGGAAAGUUUUUUCGGCCAGGGAUGUGCUCGCGGCCUAUCAGCUUGAUGGUGAGGUAAUGGCUCACCAUGGCUUCGACGGGUAGCCGGCCUGAGAGGGUGACCGGUCACACUGGGACUGUGACACGGCCCAGACUCCUACGGGAGGCAGCGGUGGGGAAUAUUGGACAAUGGGCGGAAGCCUGAUCCAGCAACGCCGCGUGAGGGAUGACGGCCUUCGGGUUGUAAACCUCUUUCAGCAGGGACGAAGCGCAAGUGACGGUACCUGCAGAAGAAGCACCGGCCAACUACGUGCCAGCCGCCGCGGUAA
rnacentral:rRNA from 1 species